CAGUCGCCACGGUAAUACGUAGGUGGCAAGCGUUGUCCGGAAUUAUUGGGCGUAAAGGGCUCGCAGGCGGUUUCUUAAGUCUGAUGUGAAAGCCCCCGGCUCAACCGGGGAGGGUCAUUGGAAACUGGGAAACUUGAGUGCAGAAGAGGAGAGUGGAAUUCCACGUGUAGCGGUGAAAUGCGUAGAGAUGUGGAGGAACACCAGUGGCGAAGGCGACUCUCUGGUCUGUAACUGACGCUGAGGAGCAGAAGCGUGGGGAGCGAACAGGAUUAGAUACCCCUGUAGUCCCUGUCUCUUAUAC
rnacentral:rRNA from 1 species